CAGCUGUGAACAUCAGACCAAACAACUAACAAAACUUCUUCACACUGAACAUUAAGUGGCAGCGUUUCAUCUCUGUCAACAUGGAAAAACUCGCUGCAGUUUUGUUCUUUUUCACUCUCGUAGGUAACACCUUGGAAGAUGAUAUUACUGCCAGCAGAGCUGAAGUGUUUUCAUCAGAGGGCCGUAGUGUUACUCUGUCCUGUAACUAUUCAGUUAAAGCUCAGAAUCUCCAGUGGUAUCGACAGGAUCCUGGAUCAGCUCCUCAGUUCCUUCUCCUGAUCACUGAUACCAAAGAGCUUUCAGUGCUGAAAGCAAAUCCACACCCUCAACUGACUGUUAAACUGAAUGAGGAGAGAAAUCGAGUCGAUCUGCAGAUCUCCUCUACUGCAGUGACUGACUCUGCUGUGUACUACUGUGCUCUGCAGCCCACAGUGACAGGAAACACCAAGACUCUGUACAAAAACAAUUGGAGCAAAGACAACAGAAUACUCCACAACGUCCACUAGAGGGAGUCACACACUGUUAAACCAAUACGUUCAUUGAACUGAUGAGAGGAACUGAAAAAAUAACAUCAAGAGGUGAUUGGCCCCGCCCAUUGAGCUUCCACUCAACCAAUGACAUUAUUUCUUACUCAUUCUACUGCAGUGGAAGAACAUUCCUCAUCUGCUGUCUGCCUGGCUUUAACAACUCCAAAGACAUGUUGCUUUACCUCUUUUUACUUUUCUCUCACUUUACAGGUGAGUUUAAGAACAGAGAUUUAAGUUUUGUUCAACCUGCUGCAUUAACCAGAUAUACACAACCUGUAUUUCAGAACUUUUCUCAUUUCUUUGCUCUGACAGAAUGCACAUCAUGUUUUCAUCAUCUUGUAAAAAUGAGUUAAUGGAGUUCUACUUGUUUUGUAUUUUGCUGUUUCUGUCCACAGAUUAACACUGUACAGCUGACAUUUUCCACUCUCUCCUCUCAGCCUCAUGAACAAUGUUA